UGGGGUUUGUUGAUGGAUAUUUGCUGCCAUGUACUUUGUGUUAGUGCAUCCCAUGUGUUCGACUUAAAUCCUCAACCAGAGUUCGUUCAAAUAUAUCAUUCAUUGUUAUCUUUUCUUAUCUAAGGGUAGCUAUUAGAUGAACCUAUCCGGAUUCUGAUCCGACCACAAAUUUGUACCAGACACUUUUCUAUCACCCUUUACCCAUUGAUUCAAGUAAUUAAUCUUUGGCGAGCUGAAUACUCAAUUAUGGUCUCUGUUCAACUUUGGAGGUUCAUUUAUUAAUUAAUUAAAACAGGUCAUACUUGAUAUGCGUAGAACUAUAAAGAAACCAUGUAGUUUCCUAUUUAUAUUCUCAAUGGAGCAGACUCUCUUUGGUAAUUCAACUUGGUAAUAUGUUAAGCAGGUUCUGUUUCCAGUGCGAGGAGAGGGUGGUCAAGAUCAAACAUUUUAAGAGCACUUCUUCUGGUGACGUACGUAUUUGAUGGGGUGGGGGGACUGUAACUGAAAAUCUUUUUUACGUAAACCUUCGAUAUAUUCACGUUUACCUGAGGAAAUUGAGUGAGUCUUGAUGCCCAAGAAAGGAAACUUCAAAAAUGAACCUGGCCGUGUUUUAAAACCAGUAGUGUCCACACCAAUCAGACAAUGUGACAUUUGGAUAUUAUGUGAUGAGGAUGUUGAAGGAUUACAUUGAACAUCCAUGACCUACACGUUACUUGAAGAAAGAGCUAAAUACUACGCCAUAUACACCAGCUUAAAUUAAUGAAAUGCGACAACACUGGGCGAACCAUAUGCUACCGAUAAUUCAAAGUCAUCGUCCCACAUAUUAGGCUUUUUUUUUUACUUUUUAUUUCUUACUAUAUGUCUAGCUAACUAGAGUAUUAUUUGUUAAUUUUGUAUGUUUAACAACAAAUAUUAUAUUUUUGUAUAUUUAGUUAGCAAAAACAUAUUAUAUACACAUUUAUGUUUUAUUAAUGAAAAUUCACAAUUUAAUUUGCAUAUAA